CGAAGAACCUUACCAGGUCUUGACAUCCUCUGACAAUCCUAGAGAUAGGACGUCCCCUUCGGGGGCAGAGUGACAGGUGGUGCAUGGUUGUCGUCAGCUCGUGUCGUGAGAUGUUGGGUUAAGUCCCGCAACGAGCGCAACCCUUGAUCUUAGUUGCCAGCAUUCAGUUGGGCACUCUAAGGUGACUGCCGGUGACAAACCGGAGGAAGGUGGGGAUGACGUCAAAUCAUCAUGCCCCUUAUGACCUGGGCUACACACGUGCUACAAUGGACAGAACAAAGGGCAGCGAAACCGCGAGGUUAAGCCAAUCCCACAAAUCUGUUCUCAGUUCGGAUCGCAGUCUGCAACUCGACUGCGUGAAGCUGGAAUCGCUAGUAAUCGCGGAUCAGCAUGCCGCGGUGAAUACGUUCCCGGGCCUUGUACACACCGCCCGUCACACCACGAGAGUUUGUAACACCCGA
rnacentral:rRNA from 1 species